rnacentral:rRNA from 1 species
GAUAAACGCUGGCGGCGUGCAUUAUGCAUGCAAGUCGAACGGUCUUGGUCUUCGGACCAAGAUAGUGGCAAACGGGUGAGUUAACACGUAGGUAACCCGCCCCUAAGUGUGGAAUAACUUCGGGAAACCGGAGCUAAUACCGCAUGUGGUGGUAAGGCACCAUCACUAAAGCCUCCGGGCGCUUGGGGAGGGGCCUGCGUCCGAUUAGCUUGUUGGUGGGGUAAUGGCCUACCAAGGCGACGAUCGGUAGCUGGUCUGAGAGGAUGGUUAGCCACACUGGAACUGAGAUACGGUCCAGACUCCGUACGGGAGGCAGCAGCAAGGAAUUUUGUGCAAUGGGACGAAAGCCUGACACAGCAACGCCGCGUGGGGGAUGAAGGCCCUCGGGUUGUAAACCCCUUUUCUCAGGGAAGAAUAAUGACGGUACCCGAGGAAUAAGCCUCGGCUAACUACGUG